GGUGCUGUGAUGAGCUGCGCAGGGGUACGGACCUCAGCUGAUGAUGGGAGCUGAGUCUGUUCUGUUUCAGAGACUGAGGUCACUGGCGGAAACAGACGAGAUGACGCACGACUGAGCACC
ensembl:snoRNA